rnacentral:rRNA from 1 species
UUCUUCUGGGAUUAAUGGAGCCGUCCUUGAAAUACCACCCUAAUAAUGUGAGAAUUCUAACUUUUCGCUGUGAAUCCAGCUGAAGGACAGUUUCAGGUGGUCAGUUUGACUGGGGCGGUCGCCUCCUAAAAGGUAACGGAGGCGUACAAAGGUUUCCUCAAAUCGGUCAGAACUCGAUUGUAGAGCGCAAAGGCAAAAGGAAGCUUGACUGUAAGACAUACAAGUCGAACAGGGACGAAAGUCGGUCUUAGUGAUCUGACGGUACCGAGUGGAAGGGCCGUCACUCAACGGAUAAAAGUUACUCUAGGGAUAACA